rnacentral:rRNA from 1 species
AUUGAACGCUGGCGGCACGCCUUACACAUGCAAGUCGAACGGCAGCACGGGAGCAAUCCUGGUGGCGAGUGGCGAACGGGUGAGUAAUAUAUCGGAACGUGCCCAGUCGUGGGGGAUAACGCAGCGAAAGCUGUGCCAAUACCGCAUACGAUCUAUGGAUGAAAGCGGGGGAUCGCAAGACCUCGCGCGAUUGGAGCGGCCGAUAUCAGAUUAGCUAGUUGGUGGGGUAAAGGCCCACCAAGGCGACGAUCUGUAGCUGGUCUGAGAGGACGACCAGCCACACUGGAACUGAGGCACGGUCCAGACUCCUACGGGAGGCAGCAGUGGGGAAUUUUGGACAAUGGGCGCAAGCCUGACGACGCAACGUCGCGUGGAGGAUGAAGAUUCUCGGAUCGUAAACUCCUGUCGAAUGGGACGAACGGCCCGGCCGUGAACAACGGCCGGGAGUGACGGUACCGUGAGAGGAAGCCCCGGCUAACUCCGUGCCAGCCGCCGCUGUAAUAC